ACAAGCGGUGGAGCAUGUGGUUAAUUCGACGCAACGCGAAGAACCUUACCAGGUCUUGACAUCCCGAUGCUAUUUCUAGAGAUAGAAAGUUACUUCGGUACAUCGGUGACAGGUGGUGCAUGGUUGUCGUCAGCUCGUGUCGUGAGAUGUUGGGUUAAGUCCCGCAACGAGCGCAACCCUUAUCUUUAAUUGCCAGCAUUCAGUUGGGCACUUUAAAGAGACUGCCGGUGUUAAACCGGAGGAAGGUGGGGAUGACGUCAAGUCCUCAUGGCCUUUAUGCUUAGGGCUACACACGUGCUACAAUGGGUGGUACAAAGAGAAGCCAACUCGCGAGAGCGCGCCAAUCUCAAAAAGCCAUCCUCAGUUCGGAUUGGAGUCUGCAACUCGACUCCAUGAAGUCGGAAUCGCUAGUAAUCGCGGAUCAGCACGCCGCGGUGAAUACGUUCCCGGGCCUU
rnacentral:rRNA from 1 species